rfam:Candidatus Staskawiczbacteria bacterium RIFCSPHIGHO2_02_FTLL_42_22 rifcsphigho2_02_scaffold_7109, whole genome shotgun sequence.
CGGGGAUUAGUGUAGCGGCAACACGCACCGUUCGGGACGGUGAGACGAUGGGUUCGACCCCCAUAUCCCCGA